AAGAGGAAUCAAUUCUGGACCAGAGGAUGUCUCCCUGCCUUUGCCCUGCCUGCCUCCCCCCACAUCCUUCUCUGGCAAGGGGAAUGAGGCUGAGAAUGACCUCCAUCCGCAGGACGAGAUUCUCUAGGAAACAAGAAAUCAAAUCUCCGGGGACUAUCCAGGUGGGAAAUGGAAAUAAAUG
ensembl:lncRNA novel transcript